rnacentral:rRNA from 1 species
UACAGAGGUCUCAAGCGUUGUUCGGAUUCAUUGGGCGUAAAGGGUGCGUAGGUGGCGAGGUUAGUCAGGUGUGAAAUCUCGGGGCUCAACCCCGAAACUGCACUUGAUACUGCCUUGCUAGAGUACUGGAGAGGAGAUUGGAAUUUACGGUGUAGCAGUGAAAUGCGUAGAUAUCGUAAGGAAGACCAGUGGCGAAGGCGGGUCUCUGGGCCGAAAUUGACGCUGAGGAGCGAAAGCGUGGGGAGCAAACAGG